rnacentral:tRNA from 1 species
GCCGAUAUGGGAUAAUGGUAUUCCAGUAGCUUGCUAAGCUAUCCAACAGAAAUGUUGUACAGGUUCAAAUCCUGUUGUUGGCG